GAGCAAACGUCACCACGGCGACGUUAUCAUCCCCCUUCCGCCAUUUUGUAAACCGGUUUCUGGGGAAACGCAAGGUCUUACCUCCCCCACCACGAGGAUUAUUUUUAAAGUAGCGCCGAUAACCUGCUAUUCUCUUCGGGGCUUCUUUCAAGUUCAGAUGGCUGUAAUAAAGGGCCUCUGCCUUCUUCGCAGAGUUAGCAAAAUGAGAACCCAGGAUUACGAAGGUGCCUGGUGCAGCAGGAGCACUUGAUUCGGUGAAAAUGUUUCCUGAGGCUGAACAAUAAAGUACGUGAGCAAUUCGGUGCAUCAUCAAACUCGUUAGCGAGUGAUUGCCGACGAUAGUUGUUCAGCCAGUGUGAUGAAAUAGGUUUUAGAUAAGGGUCGGAUCUUCAGUCAUAUAAAAUAAGAACAGAUGUAGUUUUGUCCUGCCAAUAAUAAAUGGCCACUCUUUCCCACACUUGCCUGGCAUUCAAAAGCGUGUGGAGGAUUAAUUAAAUUACAGACUUUAAAGGGGAAGGUGUAUGGCAAAUUCUCGGGAACAACUGGUAUUCUUUUUGAAGCAUCUGCAUAUUUCAGGAUGAUAAGGCGGUACGGUACUUUUGUCGUGUGCGUCCUUGCUUUAAGAUCUUUAUCCAUGCGCAGUAGCGACAUUGUAUACCAUUUCUAUUUUUUAGCUAAUGUUAAAAAAAAAGUCUGAAUACACUAAACAUAUUUUCUCUCUGCACAACCCACAUGUUGAAGAUUCAGGCUUUUUUCCAGAAGCCUCUCUGAAAAUGGCCACUAGAAGGUGCGAUGUGGACUUUGCUUUGACUUAGCCAAUUGCUCUCGGCUAUACUGAUCACAGCAUAUUGAACCAAACCGAGUGUCAUAAACUGAGAUGAACUGUCAUGAUCAUCCUGCCCCUUCAACUCUCGCUUUUUUGACACCAAGUUUUGUUGUACAACCUCUGGCUCCAACUCCAUUUUUAAAUAGUCAACAAAUAUAAAUCAAGGGGUCCUUCCAGAAUUGAGAAAAUCUGAAUCCCUACAGCUGUCAAUUUCAAUGAGUGCAGAAACAAAGACAAGAAUUCUUCUACACAGUUGUGUAUUUUUGUCUGAUUUUUACAAAAAAAUAAAUUAUUCCUCUAAACUCAAAAACAAGACUACAAUCAUUGGCUAGCCUCCAAGAUUUCUCUAAAAGAGAAUUAAUUUACCAAAUCAUUAAUGCAGUACAAAGACACAUACACUGUUUUACUUAUAAGACAAUGUUUAGUGUCAGGAGAGUUUGACAAUGCACAAAAAACUUGAUAUCCAUUCAUGUUGCCAUUCUAUGCUGUGUAGAGUUCAUAAACUAAUCUUUUGACUUGGAAUGGCAUCCCAUAAAUUAAUCAAUCCAUAAGUAUUUCCACUGUAUGGCAUGAAUUGUAAGGCAGCCAGCUAAACUGCAAGUUUGCUCCGCACAUAUGAUAUGUGUUUACUUGUUGCAAUAUCUUGCACAUCAAGCAGUUCAUCUGAUUCAUAAGCAAAGCCUUUAUUUAAUUCUUGCAUCUGGGGCUUGGAUUCUUUGAGUUUCGUUCAAAGCAACCAGCAGGAGAAUUUCUCUUUCCACAACAAUGUUAAUAAAUGUUCAAGGUUAUUAUUUCUUGACUUCAGAAAAUGUCAUUUGUAAACUGUCCAAAAUCAGAUUUCCUACUGGCUCUCAUGCUAUUUUACGUCAAUUUUCUGACUUCAACAUGAAACAAAGUGUCAAGUUGAAAGCACCCAAUUGUUAGUCACAAUUUAAGAUGAUUCUGAUCUUGAACUUUACUUGAUGCAUCAGUGAGUUCAUCUAGCAAGUAGGUCUGCUUUAAUUCACCUAACACAGGUACUAGUACCUAUGCAAGGAUAAAAUCAACAUAAAAUAGUUGGAUGUUGAGCUCCGCAGCCAAAACUAAAAUUUGAUCAUGCCUUCUUUUAGCUCUACAGACUGGUCGGGCAUACUUGGACUAAUGUGGCUAGUUCAGUCUCAGAGUAACAAGAGGUUAUCAUGUGAGACAGCACCAGAGUGGGGUUGCUUUAAACAGCAAGAGAAAGCAGUGGAAAAGUUCACAAUCCGUUCAAGAAUGAGGAGGCUUAAGACAGCGCGAGAAAUCUUGACAUUUGGGAAAUUAAAAAAAGUGUAACAUCACUGGGUAACCAAGGAGACCAGAAGUUGAACAAAAGGGGUUAGCUUAGAAAAAAUUUGAGUGAUGAUGCAGGGAAAACAUAACGUCAUCAAGUGGGAUGGGGAGCUUAGUGGCGACCUCGGUAAUAAGACCAGGCGAGUAUUACUACAGCCCAGUACUUAAAAGUAAAAAUUGGUCCUAUUUAGAUUGAGAUUGUUUCAAGUAUACAGAAUAGGGUAAAGCAUAUAUUGAACAUUCCUUAAAUCAAAGGAGGAAAUGGAAAGGGAGUAUUUUAAGCUCAAGUCAUGACAAGGAAGUUUGGUCAGGUGGAAUGCUCCUCCUGUGCGACAUGGAAAGUCAGGGACACUGAGUCCAGGGUGACCAUGCAUACAGGAAGUACCUUCAGCAGCUACUAUUGGAAAUCUGUGUUUUGUAUCUGGAGCAGGAGCUGGUGUCAGUGUGGAAUUUCUGCAAUGCAGAGAUCUCCGUGAUUAGCAUGUACAGCAAGGUGGUCACACCUCAGGUAGAGUGCACAAGCAGAAAGGGAAUAGGUGAUUGCCAAAAUAAAACCACGAGCAUCUAAUGCAGAAAUCCCCUGGAGUUAUCUCUCUAAAAGAUUUUUCAUUUCAGAUACUGCUGGGGUAGACAGUUUCUCAGGAGAAAGCAGCAAGAACCAGGCCUAGGCACCAGGAUUGGCUUAGCUGUGCAGGACGGGGGCGGGGGGAAUAAGUGGGAGAGCAAAAAUGAUGAAUGAUUCUGUCAUAAGGGUGGGAAUCUGGAACUCACUGCAAGUGGUAGAGGCAGAAACCUUCAUAACAUUGAAGUAAUAUUUAGAUGUACAUUUGCGAUAACAAAACAUUGGAACAAAAGUUGGAAAAUGGAAUUAGAGUGAGUUAGGUGGUUGUUUAUGACUAGCACAGACUCGAUGGGCUGAAGGACCUUUUUCUAUGCUGUGAAGCUGAAGCUAAAGCUGUGGAGACAAAAGUCACUGAAAAUAUUUAAGAAACAAAUAUAUUUUCAGAAGCUAAAGUUGCCAAGGGGUUUAGGGAAAAUAUACAAGUAUGGUUUUGAGAUUGAGAAUCCGACAUGAUAACAAUAAAUGGCAGAGCGAGAUUGAUGGGUUGAAUGGCCUAAUCCUGCUCACGUUUUCGAUGUUUAAGACCUGGAGAUCAUGCAGCGUACAGAAAAGUGUGUAAAGCUGACCCUUAGCAUCACCAAUUAUUAUUGCAGAGUUAUGACAGGAAUGGAUGUGAAAAAAGUCCACCUAACAC